UACGUAUUCCCUCCGUUCCGAAUUACUUGUCGCAGGUAUGGAUGUAUCUAGAUGUAUUUUAGUUCUAGAUACAUCCAUUUCUUCGACGAGUAAUUUAGAACGGAGGGAGUAUAUG
rfam:Triticum aestivum genome assembly, contig: Triticum_aestivum_CS42_TGACv1_scaffold_602693_7DL